UCCCAGUAAGAGCAGGUUUCGCGCCAACUUUUAAACUUCUUUUAUAUUGAAGAGAUGCCUUCCAAUCAUUACGGAAAGCUGCCUGUAAUAGGAGUUUGGGCUUUGUUUGGUUCAUGUUUUUAUUUUUUUCUUGCUUAUCAAACUAUAGGAGAAAGAGGUGCUAGGAAUAGGAAAUGGAUAGGAGAGAUGCUACAACUCACUCCUCCAGCUACAGAAAACAAAGACCUGACUGAUCAUCAAGCUAUAUUGGAAGCUACUACAUAUGACCCAAAGAAUAAAGAAUAAUGAUCAAAAGUACUCACCAUGACAAGCAACCACGACUGUCUUUGCAAUGAUUGCCACAAGAUCUUUAAACGAACCAAUAUGAUGCUUGUGUGAAAAGCUCAUAAUUAGCCACUUGCAGUGCAUCAUCAAGUCUCGUAGUCUCCUCACUACUGGCUUCAGGGAAGACAUUUUCAACCAUAGUAAAAAGAUCCUUCUGAUAGUAAUAGCGAUUGAACUUCAACUCCAGGGUUGCCAUGGAUGAAUAUGACAAGAGACCAAGAUGUGUUCCAGCAUACGAGAUGUUGAAAGCACUGGCUGUUCCCUUGACGAAGUUCUGGACGUCACGCCAUUCUGUAUCCUUGAUUUUGCUUGAUAUGGGGACUGCGAAUGCUAAGUCUGUUGGUGACUCACAUACUGAAAAACACAAGAAGUUAAGUGUUAGGAAUUAUGACAUUAGGCAAUGGUGGCGGCUUCAGUACUCUUUUAGAGAGGGUCGGAGAUAAUGAAUCAAUAUAACGUAACCUCCUCAUAGUAUGAUAGGAAUGAUAUGUACAAAAAAGGUAUGAAUAGUAUUUUCUGAGCUUGUGAUCUUAAGCUUUUCCAGACAGGAAUUUCUUAAUAGAUUUUUUUCUUUUGGGGAGCAUUUUAGUUACGUGCAUGCUUAGAACAUUCCGAUUAUCAAGCUAGCUUUAGUGGUUAAGUUUUCAUAUCACAAUCUAUAAUUAUAUACCUCAUCUUUGGCUGGAUUUUUGGCUUUUGUUUUUAACUGCGUGUAUGAAUUAGGAGCUAAGCUUACCACUUUCAUGAUAGCUUAGGAACUUAGAUAAUUUUCAUGGAUUAAGUUAUGUAAAUAAAUAAAUUACCUGGACAGUCUUGGACCUUGCAUCGUCGUUUUUCAGUGUAAGGUCCACGGCAGUUGGCUCCAGUGAGACA